GUAGGUGAACCUGCGGAAGGAUCAUUACCUUUCAAUGCAGCAGAAUUGGGAUGGUUGAGUUUCUCGCCUCUCAAUUCUGCCUGUAUUCUACCCUUGUUUGUCAAAUACUAUUAUUUCCUCGGCAGGCUUGCCUGCCGAGUGAAACCAAUUAUAACCUAUUUAAUUUUCAAUCAGCGUCUGAAAAAAUUAAUAAUUACAACUUUCAACAACGGAUCUCUUGGUUCUG
rnacentral:misc_RNA from 1 species